UACGUAGGGGGCUAGCGUUGUCCGGAUUUAUUGGGCGUAAAGAGCGUGUAGGCGGCCAGGUAGGUCUGCUGUGAAAACUCGAGGCUCAACCUCGAGACGUCGGCGGAAACCAUCUGGCUAGAGUCCGGAAGAGGAGAGUGGAAUUCCUGGUGUAGCGGUGAAAUGCGCAGAUUUCAGGAAGAACACCCGUGGCGAAGGCGGCUCACUGGCCCGGUACUGACGCUGAGGUGCGAAAGCGUGGGGAGCGAACAGG
rnacentral:rRNA from 1 species